rnacentral:rRNA from 1 species
AUUGAACGCUGGCGGCAUGCUUUACACAUGCAAGUCGAACGGCAACGAGGAGAAGCUUGCUUCUCUGUCGGCGAGUGGCGAACGGGUGAGUAUAGCAUCGGAACGUGCCAAGUAGUGGGGGAUAACCAAACGAAAGUUUGGCUAAUACCGCGUAAGCUCCAAGGAGGAAAGUAGGGGACCUAAAUAAGGCCUUACGCUAUUUGAUCGGCCGAUGUCGGAUUAGCUAGUUGGUGGGGUAAUGGCUCACCAAGGCAAUGAUCCGUAGCGGGUCUGGGAGGACGAUCCGCCACACUGGGACUGAGACACGGCCCAGACUCCUACGGGAGGCAGCAGUGGGGAAUUUUGGACAAUGGGGGAAAACCUGAUCCAGCCAUGCCGCGUGUAUGAAGAAGGCCUUAGGGUUGUAAAGUACUUUUGUUAGGGAAGAAAAGCUAGUUUUUAAUAAAAAUUAGUGAUGACGGUACCUAAAGAAUAAGCACCGGAUAACUACGUG